GUCUCAACACACAGUGACAACAUGCUGGUGACUCUCUGUGCUCUUAUCACUGCUCUAACAUGUGUGAGUGGUGUGACGGUGGUGACACAGAAACCUCCUGUUUUAUCAGUGAGGAAAGGAGAGACAGCCACCAUGGACUGUAACCUGGGGACUGUUACUAAUGAACCUGCUUGGUGGUAUAAACAGAUUCCAGGAGGAGUUCCUCAGUAUGUAGUGAAGUUUCGUCAUGACUGGAGUUCUCAAUACGAUGGCUCUGGAUUCUCUUCUCCAAAAUUCACAUGUACUCAUCAGUCAACAACAGAUUAUCGUUUGAUGAUCAAAAAUGUGGAGGAGGAAGACUCUGCAGUCUAUUACUGUAAGACAUGGGACACCUCUGUUAAGGAGUACGCAUCACAGUGAUUUACACUGUGACAAAAACUUCCUCACUAUUACUUCUGCUUUUUGGGUACAA